rnacentral:rRNA from 1 species
GAUGAACGCUGGCGGCGUGCCUAAUACAUGCAAGUCGAACGGAAGGACGAGAAGCUUUUUUCUUUGCUGUUAGCGGCGGACGGGUGAGUAACGCGUGGAUCACCUACUUCUUUUUCUGGGAUGACUUCGGAAAAAAGCAGAUGCUACCAGAUCAUAUUUUGUACCGCUUGGUUCAAGAGUGCUUGACGCUCUUGCUGUUACUAUUAGCUGGAUCCGCGCUGCAUUAGCUAGUUGGUAAGGUAACGGCUUACCAAGGCAACGAUGCGUAGCCGACCUGAGAGGAUGAUCAGCCACACUGGAACUGAGACACGGUCCAGACUCCUACGGGAGGCAGCAGUGGGGAAUAUUGGACAAUGGGCGAAAGCCUGACGCAGCAAUGCCGCGUGGGUGAAGAAGGGCUUCGGGUUGUAAAACUCUUUUGUUGGGGAAGAACAGAUGCGGAAGAAACCGCGCAUGUUUUGACGGUACCUAAAGAAAAAGCAACGGCUAACUACGUG